rnacentral:tRNA from 2 species
CGAGGUGUAGCUCAGUUGGUAGAGUACACGUCUGGGGGGCGUGUGGCCGCUGGUUCAAGUCCAGUCACCUCGA